CAGCCGCCACGGUAAUACGAAGGGGGCUGGCGUUGCUCGGAAUGAUUGGGCGUAAAGGGCGCGUAGGCGGCUUGUACAGUCAGAUGUGAAAUUCCUGGGCUCAACCUGGGGACUGCAUUUGAUACGUACGGGCUUGAGUGGAGAAGAGGGUUGUGGAAUUUCCAGUGUAGAGGUGAAAUUCGUAGAUAUUGGAAAGAACACCGGUGGCGAAGGCGGCAACCUGGUCUUUAACUGACGCUGAGGCGCGAAAGCGUGGGGAGCAAACAGGAUUAGAUACCCCCGUAGUCCCUGUCUCUUAUAC
rnacentral:rRNA from 1 species